AACGCGUGUAGUCUGCUGUCUACCUUUACUCGCUAGAUUUUACUUCUUGACCUCUCUAUAUAAUCUUAUUUGUUUCAUUCUGUUCUACAUUUUUUCUGUCCAGGGUCACAAGUGUGAAGGACAUUUUGCAAGAGUGUCCACAAGCUGGUGGGGGCGGCGGUAGUGGUCCGUUGACGUCACAAAUAUGGGGAAGGGGGACAUUUCUCGAAGGAUUGUCCACAAGAGGGUCGCGGCGGUGGUGGAAGUCGUACCUGCCAUGAGAUAAACAAAAAACAAAAAAAAAACAUCAUUUUUAGUGCUCAUUUUUAACGAAGAAGAGGGCAAUAUAGCAAGGGAUUUUCCUCAAGGAGGAAGCGUUGGUGGCAACAAUUGUUACGAUGUAAACAUCAAUUAUAUCUUUACAAAAAUAUUUCAUGUUCCAGUGUUCAUUGUUUUACUCCUAGUGUA